GGAGGGUGCAAGCGUUAUCCGGAUUCACUGGGUUUAAAGGGUGCGUAGGCGGGUAAGUAAGUCCGUGGUGAGAUCUCUGAGCUUAACUCAGAAACUGCCGUGGAUACUAUUUGCCUUGAAUAUUGUGGAGGUGAGCGGAAUAUGUCAUGUAGCGGUGAAAUGCUUAGAUAUGACAUAGAACACCAAUUGCGAAGGCAGCUCACUACACAAUCAUUGACGCUGAGGCACGAAAGCGUGGGGAUCAAACAGGAUUAGAUACCCUGGUAGUCCACGCCCUAAACGAUGAUUACUCGACAUCAGCGAUACACUGUUGGUGUCUGAGCGAAAGCAUUAAGUAAUCCACCUGGGAAGUACGAUCGCAAG
rnacentral:rRNA from 1 species